UACGGGGGGGGUAAGCGUUGUUCGGAAUUACUGGGCGGAAAGGGCUCGUAGGCGGCCAACUAAGUCAUACGUGAAAUCCCUCAGCUUAACUGGGGAACUGCGUGUGAUACUGGAUGGCUUGGAUUUGGGAGAGGGAUGCGGAAUUCCAGGUGUAGCGGUGAAAUGCGCAGAUAUCAGGAGGAACACCGGUGGCGAAGGCGGAUCUCUGGGCCUUACCUGACGCUCAGGCGCGAAAGCUAGGGGAGCGAACAGG
rnacentral:rRNA from 1 species